UACGAAGGGGGCUAGCGUUGCUCGGAAUUACUGGGCGUAAAGGGCGCGUAGGCGGACAGUUUAGUCAGAGGUAAAAGCCCAGGGCUCAACCUUGGAACUGCCUUUGAUACUGACUGUCUUGAGUUCGGGAGAGGGAUGCGGAAUUCCAGGUGUAGCGGUGAAAUGCGUAGAUAUCUGGAGGAACACCGGUGGCGAAGGCGGCAUCCUGGACCGACACUGACGCUGAGGAGCGAAAGCCAGGGGAGCAAACGGG
rnacentral:rRNA from 1 species